rnacentral:lncRNA from 1 species
CACCAUCAUUAUGUAUACUGUGCACAUAUGUAUUAGAACACUAGAGACAUAUAUUCUAUAUGCAUAUUUAUUAUAUACCCCGAUUUCUGGGGACGUUGUUUGCCUUGUCAUGGUUACGCAGUUUGAGUGAAUUUUCCACCCUGGAUUAGUUGUGAUGGAUUUGUUGAAGGUUGGAUAACUGGUUGCUGUAGUUGUGAUGUUUCCCAGUACGCAAUUCUUUAUAUUACUUUGUUGUUAUUGAUUGUUCUCUUGGCGUGAAAAUGUUCUCCCAUAACACUGCAACACACUGUCUUAAUCUGAAAAUGCUAUAAAUAGUUUGACAAUAUAGAUUUCAGAUAUCUAGAUUGUAACUUUUUUUUUAAUAAAGGGUAUAGUUGUUAUAAUAUUGCCCCAACAUAUUAAGAGAGAGGAAACAAUAACAAGUAAAUAGUACAAAAAUGAAAUGCAACCUAGAAUGCUUGACUGUGCUCUUUUUGACAUUAGGAGCUAAGGCGGCGUGAUGAAUAAGGGGUGCUGCUUGGGAUCCUCUCCGGAAAGCAGGCCUGUCUUCCACAGGAUGAAUGUUCGACAUGGUCACAUUCAGGUAGUUAUAUAUUGUUCUCUGUUCUUGUAAGAUCAAUAGUGUAGAUUCGAACUUAUGGAACCAGGGCAAAUGCUCCUCCCUAGAAGUCAGGGCUAUUUAUGCAUGGGCUAGCUGAUUGGUCACCUCAGACUCCAUCUGAUUCCCCAUAUGCCUCCACCAAGCUGUCAAAAAAAAAUUCAAAGAAUUCACAUUCAGCAAUAUUGCUACACCUACAAGGGGUGUCAGUGUCAUCACGGAGGCUGCAUGCUCCAAUGUGGGUAGUAUAUGUCACUGUAUGUAUGUUUGUAAGUUUGUAUGUCUGUGAUUGUGCAAAUGUAUGCAUACACUCUAUAAAAUAUUCAAAAAAAAUAUGUCUGGACUUCAGUUCUCUCAAGUACCAGUUUAGUGAAUAAAUAAAAAAGAAUGCAUUCUCUCGCUCACAAACUAGGCUUGCUCAGUGGACAUCAGCUUUUAUUGAUUAAUUUAGGGAUGGUGGAGAAUUGGUAAGAGAGCCCUAAAGCACUUUAGCUUGCUAAAAAGUUUUAUAUGUGCAGAGUGUGACUCCCGCCCCCCUUUUUUCCAUUUUCCAAAAAGUGCAGAUUUCAAUAUAAAUCGACAAUGUUAUAAAUUAACCGUGUUACACCACCCUUGACUGUCAGACAACUGGUCCUGUUACUCCCUGGUUUUGUUUGCUCAGCUAAACUCAAGAGGCAGUAAUUGCUCAGAGCACCUGCCUUGCAAAGACUUCUCCUUGAGCUGCAUUGGGAAGUCUGUGAUUGGACAGCCACAGAAAGUCUGGGCGGGGUUAGAAGGGGAAGGCUUGCAAAGAUUGAAGACAAGAGAUCUGCCCCUUUUGCAAGCUGUUAUUAGAUACACCCCAAUAAAAAAAAAAAUUUGAAAUGCAAUGCAUGCAUGUUUUCAUAGGGGAUAUAUCUACUAAUCAGUGAUUGAUAUUUAUUUUGUAUUUGUGCAGUGUAGUGCCCCUUUAAACCGAAAUAAUAAAACUUGAAAAAAUUUCAAAUCAGCUACUUUUCCAGCUUAGAUAUUCAGGCCUUGAAUUGGCAACAUGCUUUACAAUUUACCUGCAGUCCACCGGGCAGUUACUGCUGACAUCUCCUGCAAGGAGCUUCCAUAUGUAUCCGUGAAAAACUUUGGGCGUAAAAACCCAAGGGCAGAGUAUAGAAUAUUUGAUAGAGUCCUAACCUCAACAUCUGAGGUAAGGGAUUUAGGGGUAAUUAUUUCUGAUGACUUAAAGGUAGGCAGACAAUGUAAUAGAGCAGCAGGAAAUGCUAGCAGAAUGAUUGGUAGUAUAGGGAGAGGCAUUAGCAGUAGAAAGAGGGAAGUGCUCAUGCCAUUGUACAGAACACUGGUGAGACCUCACUUGGAGUAUUGUACGCAGUACUGGAGACCGUAUCUCUAGAAGGAUAUUGAUACUUUAGAGCAGUGGAAGUCAACCUUUUUCUUCCUACCGCCAACUAAUGCAUCUUUCUUGAUGGAAAAAUUUCCUUACCGCCCACCAGUUUUCGCGCAAGUGCAGAAUAGUUUUUAGAAAGGAGGGCGUUUUAAAAAAAAAAAUGUACGUACAUUUAUCUUUUUAUUUCUACUUAAUGCAUGUUGAUAAUGUUUUUAACUUUAUAAAGUUUAAUGAGAAAACAAUAAAGUAAAUUGAAAUUACCUUUAGUAGUGAUUAAUGAGAUCCUUGAGGUUGAUGCUGCGAGACUAAAUAUUUGAUAUCUGGUUCGAUUUUUGUAAGGUACAAACGAAGGUCUCCUCUUUCGGUGAUAUUCAGACGACUUCUCUGUUUGUGCAUAAAAUGAUUUCUCAUCUGUGCGUCAGCUCCCCUCCUCUUCUUCCUCAAUUCCCCUCCCCACCUUUUUGUUCCCCCUUUUUUCCUAUUUUUUAACCUUACUUAUAGCAAUGCCCAGUAGGAAGGCUGAGCUAGGUAGCACACUUACUAUAGCCCACUAUAACACACACACACAAGACACACAUACAAAGACACAUACAUACAAACAGACAGGCACACACAUACAGACACACAGACAGGCACACACACACACACACACGACACAUACAAACAAACAGGCACACAUACACACACAUGACACAUACAUACAAACAUACACACAGACACGCACAUAAAACAUACAUACAAAGACACACACACAUACACACAGACACAAGACACACAUACAUACAGACAUAUACAUAAGACACACAUACACACACAACACAUACAUACAAAGACAAGACACACACAACACAUACAUACAAAGACAAGACACACAUACACACACAAGACAUACAUACAAAGACACAUACUUUAGACACACACAUACAGACACACACAAGACAUACAUACAAAGACACACACACAAGACAUACAUACAAAGACACACACACAAACAAACACACACAUUAUAUUUAAGUCACCCUUCUGUUUCAUACCUUUAAGGUGCAGGAGGGUGACUUUCCCUGGGGUCCAGUGGUGGCUCAGGUGGAUGGGAGUCAGAGUUCCCACUCUGACUCCCUGGUCUUCCUCCCGCGCGGCUCUCAGUGUAAGCUGGGAGGAGUGACGUGCAGUCACUUCCUCCCAGCUCUGUGAUGUAAUCACAGGGGGCCCGGUCGUGCUGUUAAAGCGGCCAGCGCUGACCGGGCCCCCUCACAUUCCACAUCCAUCAGGUGGCCCUGACAGCAUGGGCCACCCGACGGACCCCUUUGACGGUGGCCCCGGCGGUUUGCCGCCCGGGCCGGGGCCGCAAAUGGUGAUGGCGGUACCUGGUCGCAGGGGUACCGCCGGCUCGCACCCAUCCGUCCACCCAAUCUCUCCAAAUGAGGAAAUCCCUACCGCCCACCUGGAAUCUUGUAAAGCCCACUAGUGGGUGGUAGGGACCAGGUUGAAGACCCAUGCUUUAGAGAGAGUUCAGAGAAGGGCUACUAAACUGGUUCAUGGAUUUCAGAGUAAAACUUACCAGGAAAAGUUAAAGGAUCUUAACAUGUAUAGCUUCGAGGAAAGACGUAACAGGGGGGAUAUGAUAGAAUCAUUUAAAUAUAUAAAGGGAAUCAACGCAGUAAAGGAGGAGACCAUAUUUAAAAGAAGAAAAACUACCACAACAAGAGGACAUAGUCUUAAAUCAAUGGGGCAAAGGUUUAAAAAUAAUAUCAGGAAGUAUUACUUUACUAAGAGGGUAGUGGAUGCAUGGAAUAGCCUUCCAGCUGAAGUGGUAGAGGUUAACACAGUGAAGGAGUUUAAGCAUGCGUGGGAUAGGCAUAAGGCUAUCCUAACUAUAAGAUAAGGCCAGGAACUAAUUAAAAGUAUUUUUAAAAAAUUGGGCAGACUAGAUAGGCAGAAUGGUUCUUAUCUGCCAUCACAUUCUAUUUUUCUGUGUUUCUAUGUGACCUAAGCCCUGAAAUGCAAAGCCGACUCAUUGGCUAAGAGCAUCAGCUGAGUGUUCUCAGCCAAUAAGCACUUCCCUGCACUGUCAGGAUUACCUUAGUGCUGAUGAUUCUGUCUGACAAGGAGGUGACUGUGUGUAUCUGUCAGGCUUUAGAUAUUUGUCAAACUGUUUGCAAAUGGUUUGAAUACAUGUACCUGGGAGUGCACCACCAUUAUGGUGCUUGGAACGCUCCUUCAAUUUUAGAACGCACAGUUUGGUGAACAUACCACUGACGUCAAAUAUAAGCCAAAAGGCAAACACACCCUGUACACAAACACUUUAUUGGUCUAAAUGUUAUUGAUUUCUCUCUUCAGCGUGCAACUGUUCUCCCAUAUCUCUGUAACACACUGUGUCUUAAUCUGAAAAUGCUGUAAAUAGUUUUACAAUCCUGUAUAUAGAUAUCUAGAGUUUGACAUUUAUUUAUUUUUUACAAGUUAUAAUAUUGCACCAACACAUGCAACACGAAACAAAAAAACAAUACAAAAAAAAAUAAUUAUUAAAAAAUGCAACCUAUAAUGCUGGACUGUGCUCUUUUUGACAUUCAGAGCUAAGGCUGCAUAAUGACUAAAGGGUGCUGCUUGGGAUCCCCGAAUGAAAGCAGAUCUGCCUUCCACAGAACAAAUGGCUUACACCAGGGCUGCCCAAAAGGUAUAUCCCCAGAUGUGUUAAAACUACAGCUUCCAUGAUGCUUUGCUAUUUUAACCCUUUAACCCGUUAAGGACACAUGACAUGUGUGACAUGUCAUGAUUCCCUUUUAUUCCAGAGGAUUGGACCUUAAGGGGUUAAAGGAUUGCAAAGCAUUGUGGGAGUUGUAGUUCUACAACAUCUGGGGAUCUACCCCCUAGUUUACACGGUCACAUCCAGGUAGUUACAUAUUAUUUAUGUUCUCUGUUCUUGUGAAAUCAGGAGUUAUAGCACCCAGAGCAUUUCUGCAUUUAUAUAAAAAAA